GACGUAGGGCGCGAGCGUUGUCCGGAUUUAUUGGGCGUAAAGAGCUCGUAGGCGGCUUGUUGCGUCAGCUGUGAAAACCCGCAGCUCAACUGUGGGCUUGCAGCUGAUACGGGCAGGCUUGAGUUCGGUAGGGGAGACUGGAAUUCCUGGUGUAGCGGUGAAAUGCGCAGAUAUCAGGAGGAACACCGGUGGCGAAGGCAGCUCGCUGGGACGUUACUGACACUGAGGCGCGAAAGCGUGGGGAGCGAACAGG
rnacentral:rRNA from 1 species